UGGGGAAUCUUGCACAAUGGGCGAAAGCCUGAUGCAGCGACGCCGCGUGGGGGAUGAAGGCCCUCGGGUUGUAAACCCCUUUCGACGGGGAAGAAGCGAAAGUGACGGUACCCGUAGAAGAAGCCCCGGCUAACUACGUGCCAGCAGCCGCGGUAAGACGUAGGGGGCGAGCGUUGUCCGGAUUUACUGGGCGUAAAGCGCGCGCAGGCGGCCCGUUAAGUCGGAUGUGAAAACCUGGGGCUCAACCCCAGGCGUGCACCCGAUACUGGCGGGCUGGAGGCAGGUAGGGGAGAGUGGAAUUCCCGGUGUAGCGGUGAAAUGCGCAGAUAUCGGGAGGAACACCGGUGGCGAAGGCGGCUCUCUGGGCCUGUCCUGACGCUCAUGCGCGAAAGCUAGGGGAGCAAACAG
rnacentral:rRNA from 1 species